rnacentral:rRNA from 1 species
CUGCACUUUGGGAUAAGCCUGGGAAACUGGGUCUAAUACCGAAUAGGACCGCAUGCUUCAUGGUGUGUGGUGGAAAGCUUUUGCGGUGUGGGAUGGGCCCGCGGCCUAUCAGCUUGUUGGUGAGGUAAUGGCUUACCAAGGCGACGACGGGUAGCCGGCCUGAGAGGGUGACCGGCCACACUGGGACUGAGAUACGGCCCAGACUCCUACGGGAGGCAGCAGUGGGGAAUAUUGCACAAUGGGCGCAAGCCUGAUGCAGCGACGCCGCGUGAGGGAUGACGGCCUUCGGGUUGUAAACCUCUUUCGCCAGGGACGAAGCGCAAGUGACGGUACCUGGAGAAGAAGGACCGGCCAACUACGUGCCAGCAGCCGCGGUAAUACGUAGGGUCCGAGCGUUGUCCGGAAUUACUGGGCGUAAAGAGCUCGUAGGUGGUUUGUCGCGUUGUUCGUGAAAACUCACAGCUUAACUGUGGGCGUGCGGGCGAUACGGGCAGACUUGAGUACUGCAGGGGAGACUGGAAUUCCUGGUGUAGCGGUGGAAUGCGCAGAUAUCAGGAGGAACACCGGUGGCGAAGGCGGGUCUCUGGGCAGUAACUGACGCUGAGGAGCGAAAGCGUGGGGAGCGAACAGGAUUAGAUACCCUGGUAGUCCACGCCGUAAACGGUGGGUACUAGGUGUGGGUUUCCUUCCUUGGGAUCCGUGCCGUAGCUAACGCAUUAAGUACCCCGCCUGGGGAGUACGGCCGCAAGGCUAAAACUCAAAGAAAUUGACGGGGGGCCCGCACAAGCGGCGGAGCAUGUGGAUUAAUUCGAUGCAACGCGAAGAACCUUACCUGGGUUUGACAUGCACAGGACGCCGGCAGAGAUGUCGGU